rnacentral:rRNA from 1 species
UCCUGGGGUGGGGGACAACAGCGGGAAACUGCUGCUAAUACCGCAUGAUACCUGAGGGUCAAAGGCGCAAGUCGCCUUAGGAGGAGCCUGCGUCUGAUUAGCUUGUUGGUGGGGUAAAGGCCUACCAAGGCGACGAUCAGUAGCUGGUCUGAGAGGAUGAUCAGCCACAUUGGGACUGAGACACGGCCCAAACUCCUACGGGAGGCAGCAGUGGGGAAUAUUGGACAAUGGGCGCAAGCCUGAUCCAGCAAUGCCGCGUGGGUGAAGAAGGUCUUCGGAUUGUAAAGCCCUUUUGGCGGGGACGAUGAUGACGGUACCCGCAGAAUAAGCUCCGGCUAACUUCGUG